rnacentral:lncRNA from 1 species
CCAGAAAGCAACCCUCCAGCAUCCAGAUUACCCUUCGAAGACGGCAAAGAAAAAGAGAGCUCUGAAAUCACUCAACGCAUAGGAGCUGGUUCUAUAAUUUUUAGACUUUAAUUAAAUCAAUUAUUAAAGCCUUUCUUAAUGCCUUGCUGAGAUAUUCAGGCUCGGGCUGCCUCAGGAGAGAGGAAGUGGUUGAAUGCACAGAGGUGGCUAAUAAGGUUGGUCACUGGCCCCUGAGGGACGCUAGGCAAUAAGGAAGGUUCUCCCUUCCACACCCUUUCCAGUCUCGCCCUCACUCCUUGUGUCUCUUCCAGAGGGGACACAACAUUCCAGAAUCCCACAGGAAAGAUUCUACCAUCUCCACAGCUGCCCUCGCCGCAGUCCUCCCUACUGUUGGAGAAGAUGCCCCCAAUAACUGGGGUGUCUCGAGCUAGUGGACACAUCAUGGAGCUGGGAGGUAGAACACUGGAUGAGCCACAGAAAGCACACAGGACUUUGCUGUGGAAGAGUCAAAGAUCCACGUGGGAGCAUCCCGUAGGGGACUUGCGUUUCAGAUCAGAUGAUGCUUUUCAUGUAUGUCCAGCAGCAAGAGAGUCCUUCACUGGUGAAAAAUCACGGGCCUCAGAGCAGAUUUUAGUUCAUCUUUCAUUUCAAAGCACUCCUUAGAUAUCUGCAAAUUAAAUCCCCUAAUUUGGUGAGGACGCCCAGCUUCCCAAAUAACAAGGCUUUUCCUUUGAUUCUAACCAAGUGAGCCGGCCCUGCAAAAGCCGGGGUGCGUGUUCUGGCUCCAGGCUUCUGAGCAGCCUUUCUCCCCACGCUGCAGCUUUUCAGUUAGGAAGUCAGAGAGAAGGAAAGAGAACUAUUUCCAAUUCAAUCACGAGCAUGUCUACGCACCACUGAAGACAGACCUUUGUCCUGUUGCUUUCCAAACUUUAAAUGUGAAUUUUUCUUCUUAUGAUGACUGGUGUACUCUGUUAUUCUGAAAAAAG